GUCAUGGGGUGUGUGUGUGUGUCUGUCUGUCCGUCAUGGGGGGUGUGUAUGUCUGUCUGUCCAUCAUGGGGUCGGACAGACAGACAUACACACCCCCCAUGACGGACAGACAGACACACACACACACCCCAU